AGCGAACGCUGGCGGCAGGCUUAACACAUGCAAGUCGAGCGGGCAUAGCAAUAUGUCAGCGGCAGACGGGUGAGUAACGCGUGGUAACGUACCUUUUGGUUCGGAACCACACAGGGAAACUUGUGCUAAUACCGGAUAAGCCCUUACGGGGAAAGAUUUAUCGCCGCAAGAUCGGCCCGCGUCUGAUUAGCUAGUUGGUGAGGUAAUGUCUCACCAAGGCGACGAUCAGUAGCUGGUCUGAGAGGAUGAUCAGCCACAUUGGGACUGAGACACGGCCCAAACUCCUACGGGAGGGAGGAGUGGGGAAUAGUGGACAAUGGGCGCAAGCCUGAUCCAGCCAUGCCGCGUGAGUGAUGAAGGCCCUAGGGUUGUAAAGCGCUUUUGUGCGGGAAGAUAAUGACGGUACCGAAAGAAUAAGCCCCGGCUAACUUCGUG
rnacentral:rRNA from 1 species